rnacentral:lncRNA from 1 species
AAUCAGUGAAGUUAACUGAUCAUCCUGAUAUACAAUAAAUUAAUAAUAAUAAUAAUAAUAAACAUUCUUGAAGGAGGAGAGAAAAGAUCAGUUAGUCAAUCUUAGGAAUUUUCAUCUAUAUGGUUGGAGAGUAUUGGCCUUCAUGUUGUGUCAAGAUCCUAAUCCUUGGUGAAAGCUGCGAUAACCAGCAUUCAUGGAGAGAGGUUAAAUCACUUCUCUACUGCUACUCUUUGAUUAAUAUUGGAAUACAUAGAGAUUUUUGUAUUGUAGGACUAAAGAGACUAGUAGUAUAUACUAAAUACUGUGGUGAGGUCACUCUGAGAAAAAUAUAUAAAAAAAAAAAAUUAUAUAUCCUCCAGAUAUAUUCAUAUACAAAUUUUUUAUCAAUGAAAGAUCUAUUAUUUGAUUAAACUGUUGUUGCUGUCAGUCACUGUGUCAAAAGUUUUUACUCGCCCACCGAACUU